CAAGAGCAUAAAGAGUUCACUCCAAGCAUUUGUAAGAUGAACUUGGAAGAUUUUCCAUGACAAGAAUCACCAAGAUGGAGCUCAUCGAAGGUGAACUUGGAAGAUUUGCCAUGAAGAAAGGAGAAGGGCCACAAGCUUGGCUCAAGUCCUUGAUGAAUCAAGUUCGCAAUUAUGGGAGCAAGAAGUGGACAGAUCAUGAAGUCAUCCAACUAAUGUUAAGGAGAAGGUCUUGAGCCGAAGGUAUCAUCUAACAAAGUUCAUUGUUCAAGUGCUUUGGCAUGACAAUAGUCAAAAUGAAGGUUGAAAGACAAAAAGCAUCGGACCUAGGGCAUACUUGAAGAGACGAAGGUAAUGAGGAGGCGAAGAAGGAAACAAAGGUGACGAUGAUGCACUGAAAGGAGCCGAAGGAUAUUCCUAGGGAGAGGAAAAGUCAUGCAUGACAUGUUAGGGGUGUAGAAUUACCAAAUUGGUUUCCUUCAACCACAAAAGGGUACCAUACAACAAGGAGGGUAAAGUUGCAAUUUUUACAGAAAUAUGUAUCCGUUCUUCGAUCGUAUAAAUAGAUGAAUAGAGCCACUGCCAUGGAGAUCAACCAUUUUAUUA